rnacentral:rRNA from 1 species
GACGAACCGUCCAAACGUUAUUCGGAAUCACUGGGCUUACAGAGUUCGUAGGCGGUUCUACAAGUGGGGUGUGAAAGCCCUCGGCUCAACCGAGGAACUGCGCUCCAAACUGUAGAACUAGAGGGAGAUAGAGGUGAGCGGAACUGAUGGUGGAGCGGUGAAAUGCGUUGAUAUCAUCAGGAACACCGGAGGCGAAGGCGGCUCACUGGGUCUCUUCUGACGCUGAGGAACGAAAGCUAGGGGAGCAAACGGG